GUGUAAGAUCAGGCUCACAUGUGUCUGUGAAGAGUGACCGGUCAAAGGGUGAUAACAUGCCGAACUUCAGUGAGAAAAAAACAUCUAUCAAAAGUGUAAGAUCAGGCUCACAUGUGUCUGUGAAGAGUGACGAGUCAAAGGAUGAAGCACCAAACUUCAGUGAAGAAACAACACGAAGCAAACGGCUUCAGUAUGAAACAUUAGAUCCAGAUUUACAGUCUCACAGGAACCACAAGAAUUUUACAGACAGUCUCCUGCAGAUCU